rnacentral:rRNA from 1 species
GAUGAACGCUGGCGGCGUGCCUAAUACAUGCAAGUCGAGCGAACGGACCUGUAUCUUGCUUCUCUGAUGUUACCGGCGGACGGGUGAGUCACACGUGGCUUACCUAUCUAUAUGACUUGGAUAACUUCGACAGACCGUAGCUAAUACCGGAUAAUAUUUUUAACCGCAUGGUUCUAAAGUGUAUGACGGUCUUGCUGUCACUUCUAGAUGUAUCCGCGCUGCAUUAGCUAGUUGGUAUGGUAACGGCUUACCAAGGCAACGAUGGAUAGCCGACGUGAGAGGGUGAUGGGGGACUCAGGAACUGAGACACGGUCCAGACACCGAGAGGAGGCAGAGGUAGGGAAGGGACCGAAAAGGGCGGAAGACUGAAGGAUCAACGGAGGGUGAGUGAUGAAGGGCUGCGGAUCGGAAAACGCUGUUAGUAGGGAAGAACGUUUGUGUAAAUAACUGUGCAUAGCGUGACGGUACCUAAUCAGAAAGCCACGGCUAACUACGUG